rnacentral:rRNA from 1 species
GACGUAGGAUGCAAGCGUUGUCCGGAUUCAUUGGGCGUAAAGAGUUCGUAGGCGGUUUAUCAAGUCUGAUGUUAAAGCCCGAGGCCCAACCUCGGAGAAGCAUUGGAGACUGAUAGGCUUGAGUGCGGUAGAGGCGAGUGGAAUUCCUAGUGUAGCGGUGAAAUGCAUAGAUAUUAGGAAGAACACCAGUUGCGAAGGCAGCUCGCUGGGCCGUUACUGACGCUGAGGAACGAAAGCCAGGGGAGCGAAUGGG